UACGAAGGGGGCUAGCGUUGCUCGGAAUCACUGGGCGUAAAGCGCACGUAGGCGAAUCUUUAAGUCAGGGGUGAAAUCCUGGAGCUCAACUCCAGAACUGCCUUUGAUACUGGGGAUCUCGAGUCCGGAAGAGGUGAGUGGAACUCCGAGUGUAGAGGUGAAAUUCGUAGAUAUUCGGAAGAACACCAGUGGCGAAGGCGGCUCACUGGUCCGGUACUGACGCUGAGGUGCGAAAGCGUGGGGAGCAAACAGG
rnacentral:rRNA from 1 species